rnacentral:precursor_RNA from 1 species
UAGCCCGCUUGAGUAUGGGACACCUGCUACCUGGUAACUUCCAAAUUCAGAGAAACCCUGGAAUUAAAAAUGGGCAAUCCUGAGCCAAAUCUUUAUGUUAAGAAAACAAAGGAUAGGUGCAGAGACUCAAUGGAAGCUGUUCUAACAAAUGGAAUUGACGUUGACUACGUUGCGUUGGUAGCUGGAAUCCCUCUAUCGAAAUUACAGAAAGGAUGACCCUAUAUGCGUAUAUAUACAUAUUGACAUAUCAAACGAUUAAUCACAACUCGAAUCUGGAAUCCAUAUUAUUAACUAUAACUAUAUAUUAUAGUUAUUAUUAUAUAUAUUUUGUUUAUAUUUUUAAAAAGAUAUAUUUUUUUAAAAAUUUAUAGAUUAAUUAAGAGUUAUUAUAAAUAUAUUCCAGUCGAAGUUGAAGGAAGAUUCGAAUAUUCAGUAUUCAGUGAUCAAAUCAUUCAUUCCGGAGUCGGAUAGAUCUUUUGAAAAAAUGAUUAAUCGGACGAGAAUAAAGAGAGAGUCCUGUUCUACGUGUCAAUACCGACAGCAAUGAAAUUUAUAGUAUUAGGAAAAUCCGUCGACUUUAGAAAUCGUGA